UCCGGUUGAUCCUGCCGGACCUGACUGCUAUCGGAUUGGUACUAAGCCAUGCGAGUCAUUGUAGCAAUACAAGGCGGACGGCUCAGUAACACGUAGUCAACCUAACUCGUGGACGUGGAUAACCUCGGGAAACUGAGAAUAAACCACGAUAGAUCAUAGUGCCUGGAAUGGCUUAUGGUCCAAACAGUUUACUGCCAUGGGAUGGGACUGCGGCCUAUCAGCUUGUUGGUGAGGUAAUGGCCCACCAAGGCGAUUACAGGUACGGGCUCUGAGAGGAGAAGCCCGGAGAUGGGUACUGAGACACGGACCCAGGCCCUAUGGGGCGCAGCAGGCGAGAAACCUUAGCAAUGUGCGAAAGCACGACUGGGUCAGUCCGAGUGAUUCCUGAUAAAGGAGUCUUUUGCCUGUCCUAAAAGCACAGGUGAAUAAGGGGUGGGCAAGUCUGGUGUCAGCCGCCGCGGUAAUACCAGCACCUCGAGUGGUCAGGACGUUUAUUGGGCCUAAAGCAUCCGUAGCCGGCUCUGCAAGUCUUCGGUUAAAUCCACCUGCUCAACAGAUGGGCCGCUGGAGAUACUACAGAGCUAGGGAGUGGGAGAGGCAGACGGUAUUCAGUGGGUAGGGGUAAAAUCCUCUGAUCCAUUGAGGACCACCAGUGGCGAAAGCGGUCUGCCAGAACACGUUCGACGGUGAGGGAUGAAAGCUGGGGGAGCAAACCGGAUUAGAUACCCGGGUAGUCCCAGCUGUAAACGAUGCAAACUCGGUGAUGCAUUGGCUUAUGGCCAAUGCAGUGCCGCAGGAAGCCGUUAAGUUUGCCGCCUGGGAAGUACGGACGCAAGUCUGAAACUUAAAGGAAUUGGCGGGGGAGCACAA
rnacentral:rRNA from 1 species